UACGUAGGGUGCAAGCGUUGUCCGGAAUUAUUGGGCGUAAAGAGCUCGUAGGCGGUUUGUCGAGUCGGAUGUGAAAACCCGGGGCUCAACUCCGGGCCUGCAUUCGAUACGGGCAGACUAGAGUUCGGUAGGGGAGGCUGGAAUUCCUGGUGUAGCGGUGAAAUGCGCAGAUAUCAGGAGGAACACCGGUGGCGAAGGCGGGUCUCUGGGCCGAUACUGACGCUGAGGAGCGAAAGCGUGGGGAGCGAACAGG
rnacentral:rRNA from 1 species